rnacentral:tRNA from 1 species
GGGCCCGUAGCAUAACCUGGAUACUUGCGCCACAUAAGGUUUUGGCGUAGGCCAAAAAGUGCGGCUGGCUUCGGACCAGUUGAUCAGGGUUCGAAUCCCUGCGGGCCCA